rnacentral:tRNA from 1 species
CGGAGUGUAGCUCAGGGGGAGAGCGCUUCGUUCGGGACGAAGAGGUCGUAGGUUCAAAUCCUAUCACUCCGA